ensembl:lncRNA
CGGGGGACGUGGUUGACGUCUGAGGAGACCCGACCUCACGGGGAGCCUCUUAAACGUUUGGGCUUUUAUUUAGCGCCUAACAGGAACAGAUCGCUCCCAACGGCAGGCCGCUGUCUCGCGGACGGAGCAUCAAUCCAGCGGGCAUCAGACCGAUGCUGCAUUAUGAACACCAUAACAGGAUGCAAGGAGUGAAGGCGUGACGGAGUGAAGGAGUGACGGCGUGACGGCGUGACGGCGUGACGGAGUGAAGGAGUGAAGGAGUGACGGAGUGACGGAGGACGGAGAGCUGGGAGUGGAGCUGGUUCCCUCACUCUGUGGUGGAGGAGAUUCAAGCCAUCGCGGUGAACGCAUGAAAGUAAACCAUUUGAUUAUUCAUGACCAUUCCUAAAUUAUUUACACGUUUAUCUUUGCUCGGUCUAACACAGGGCUAUGAGGGCUCAUGGUCUAACCCAGGGCUAUGAGGGCUCAUGGUCUAACCCAGGGCUAUGAGGACUCAUGGUCUAACCCAGGGCUAUGAGGGCUCAUGGUCUAACCCAGGGCUAUGAGGG